rnacentral:tRNA from 1 species
UAAUUAAUUAAUUGGCAGAAAAAUGCAUUAGAAUUAGAAUCUAAUCAAACUUAA